UGGGGAAUCUUGGACAAUGGGCGCAAGCCUGAUCCAGCCAUGCCGCGUGAGUGAAGAAGGCCUUAGGGUUGUAAAACUCUUUCGCCGGUGAAGAUAAUGACGGUAGCCGGAGAAGAAGCCCCGGCUAACUUCGUGCCAGCAGCCGCGGUAAUACGAAGGGGGCUAGCGUUGUUCGGAAUUACUGGGCGUAAAGCGCACGUAGGCGGAUUGGAAAGUUGGGGGUGAAAUCCCCGGGCUCAACCCGGGAACUGCCUUCAAAACUUCCAGUCUUGAGGUCAGGAGAGGCGAGCGGAAUUCCGAGUGUAGAGGUGAAAUUCGUAGAUAUUCGGAGGAACACCAGUGGCGAAGGCGGCUCGCUGGACUGAUACUGACGCUGAGGUGCGAAAGCGUGGGGAGCAAACAGG
rnacentral:rRNA from 1 species